UUGCCUACGGGGCGCAGCAGUGAGGAAUAUUGGUCAAUGGUCGGGAGACUGAACCAGCCAAGCCGCGUGAGGGAGGAAGGUACAGAGUAUCGUAAACCUCUUUUGUCAGGGAACAAAGGCGGGGACGUGUCCCCGGAUGAGUGUACCUGAAGAAAAAGCAUCGGCUAACUCCGUGCCAGCAGCCGCGGGAAUACGGAGGAUGCGAGCGUUAUCCGGGUUUAUUGGGUUUAAAGGGAGCGUAGGCCGGUCUUUAAGCGUGCCGUGAAAUUUUGUGGCCCAACC
rnacentral:rRNA from 1 species